rnacentral:rRNA from 1 species
UACAGAGGGUGCGAGCGUUAAUCGGAAUUACUGGGCGUAAAGCGCGCGUAGGCGGCUUUUCAAGUCGAUUGUGAAAUCCCCGGGCUUAACCUGGGAACUGCAGUCGAGACUGUCUAGCUAGAGUAUGGGAGAGGGAAGUGGAAUUUCAGGUGUAGCGGUGAAAUGCGUAGAGUAUCGAGAGGAACACCUGCGGCGAAGGCGGGUUGCUGGGCUGACACUGACGCUGAGGCGCGAAAGCUAGGGGAGCGAACGGG